rnacentral:hammerhead_ribozyme from 1 species
AUCCAUCUGACGAGUCCCAAACAGGACGAAACGCGCAUCCUGAAU